rnacentral:tRNA from 1 species
UCCCUGGAGGACUAGUGGUUAGGUCUUGGCGCUCCCACUGCUGCAGCCCGGGUUCAAUUCCUGGCCAGGGAA